rnacentral:lncRNA from 10 species
AGGGAGAAAAGCCCGCCCGAGGCGCGGUGCUGACGGUGGCUGGGCUGCCGGGUGCGCUGUGGAACCGCCUCCUGCUAGAGCAGCGGGCUGGCGACGGUCCUCGCCGGGGCGGGAAGCGGCUCAGGCUGCCCUCGCUGGCCUGCGGCGGCGCGGCUGGAAGCGCGGGCCACUCGUGCGUGGGUCACUCAGGACUGCGCCUCGCGCGACUGUGUGUGCAGGAAACAAGCAGGAAAUACCCUAAAAGAGAAUGAAGCGCCAUGUUGAGGGUCGCGGACGUCGCGAGUGCUGUGGGAAUGUGGGCUGAGGUGGAGAGUUAUGGUAGCCCGUGUUACAGGCUCAGGGGUCUGAAAGAAGCCUAAUCGUGGAGGCGGCAUCUGAGGAGGGUCUUGAAGGCUGGGCAGGCAUUUGCCCGACAGAGAUGGAGGAAGCUAGUCCUGUCUGAUGGAGGAAACAGGGCGGAGGCGUGGAGGGAGCCGUGCAGCGCUGGUGUGAGGAGCAGCGAGCAGGCCAGGCCUGUAAAGCAGAGUGAGGGAACCAGGAUAGAGAAGGCAAGUCGGGGUCCUGUGGUCGCUGAAGAAUUUGAAUGAAAUCAGUAAACAGGUGAGAGGGAUCCAUCGCAAGAGCAUGGGAUGAAAGGAGGAGUAGUCCACGGUGAUUCCUCUGCAGCGGUGGGUGUUAUUAAUCGCGUAUGUGACACCAAAACCACCCCACUCAAGCUGUGGCUCUUUCCCUAAAGUAGAAAACCGAGACCAGUUGGGUUCCAAGCAUCCACGAAGAUCUUAUUAAAUUCGUGAUCCCUGGUGGCACCAUGGAGUCAGGAUUGGCUCAUCUCAAACCUGACUCAGAAACAAAACCGUCACAAUGUGCAGAGAUGAGCGUCCUUACCGCUAUCAACGUAUUUUCUGGUGUUUUCACAGUGCUGCGCUUCCUAAUCCCCAUUCCAUGGCAAUCCACAUGCCAUGAUGCCCGGAGUCAUUAACAAAGGAGACACACAGGGGCUCCUCACGUUGGCUUUCCAGGGUUUUGAUGAAAAUCUGUUUCCUCGUCUCAUACAAUGUGGCUGUACAGGAAGCAUGGUGAUGGCAUCUGCAUGGCGCCUGUGGAGGCCCCAGGGAGCUUUUACUCAUGAUGGAAGGCACAGAGGGAGUAGGCACAUCACAUGGUCCGAGGAGGAGCAAGAGAAAAUGGGAGUGGGGAUACUGCAUAGUGGAUGGAUUAGUCUGUGGUUCCUGGGAUCUUCUGUGUAUUCUGUUGAAGCUCAAUAAUCACAUUACUGCGGACCUCCAAAAUUUUACAAAGGACUGCAUACUCUUUGUCCUGGGAAGAGUUUGCUGCAUCUUCCAGUUUCAGUAAUCAAAGAAGCAAAGUUCCCUGCAGUUCUUCAAGGAACCUUGAGAAUUCAGAAGGUCUUGGGGUGGCUGCAUCCAUCCUGCAGACAAAUGCCAAUCAGCAGAGGGGCCAUUCCCAGGGACACAUGUCUGGCUGACUUGGGCCUUGGCCAGGUAAGACACACAGCAUGCAUGCCUGCAUUUCUGAAUGCCAUAGACCUGACAAGUCAUAAAAUAGCAACCAAUAAUUUUAUGUUAGAGUGCUCCCUUCCUCACAGAAAUCUCAGCAUAUGUGAAGAUAGGUUGGAAUGUGUAAAGAAAAGCUAAGAAAGCAGAUUUCUGAUAAGAACAGCGUGUGACUUGUACAGCAGCUCUGAAUUACAGCCCGUAGGAUGGAAUGCUGACAGUUCCUUCUUCCUUACCUGUGAUGGCUAGAAUUUUAUUUAGCACAUCGUUUUUGAGCCAAUCUCAAAAUGAGAAAACUUUUGAGGAAUUAUGCAUAGUGUGAAGUAUAUUCUUUCCCUUGUUGCCCGUGGAGAUUCCACUGUGACAGGGCAGAUUUCCCACUGCAGGGUCGAUGGAGAUGCUGCUGCUGUCUUUGGACAUAAUAGUUUAUGACAAAGAGACCAAAAUAAUUCCUGUUUAGCCAUGCGGUUGUCUGUAAAUCUGCUUAGUUGGUCAUCCAAAGUGAUGACAUUUAAGAUAUAGUUGAUACACUGUUUAUCUUAAAGAAACAUUUUAAAAUUAAUUCUUCAGACCUAUGUAAUAUUUUAUCUUUUCUGUUUAAUAAUAUCCAAAUGUGCUUUUGUGAAGCACAAAACACAUGUGUAUUUCUUCAUAAAUCAGUCAGAUAGCUUUGAAAAUAUAUUUCAAGUAUGUAGCAAAGACCCUCAAAACACAAUUAUUGAAGCAUUAUAAAAAGGUGAAUUUGCUUCAGUUUUGGACUUUUAAUAGACUUCACUGUUAUGUAGUAAAGAUAGAAAUAUGCCAUAAAAGUCUCUGGUUAAGAGCCAAGACUUUUUCUCCUGUAUCAUUUCAGAUCCCGUCAUUUCUACCUGAUCUUUAGGAUAGACUAUGCACAUUCAGAGUGUUGAGUAAAAUUAUUAGAAAAUAUAAUACCCAUAACAUGGUUCUUUAUACCCUUUAAGUAAAUAUGUUGGCACAUGAAUUCACAAUUUAAAACGCUGACUUUGUAAGAAAUUUGCAUGUGUCUCCAGUGAAGAUAUUGUUGCCCUUGUGUUCUUUGUGCGUGAUUUAUGACAAAAUUAUGAGACCUUUACAUUU